rnacentral:snRNA from 1 species
GGAUGUAAGGGCGAUCUGGCUGUGACAUCUGUCAUCCCAUUGAUCACCAGGGUUAUCUGGCUGGCUAGGUGGGUGUCCCCUUCCUCCCUCACUGCUCCAUGUGCGUCUCUCUGUCAAAGAGGACGGCCUUCCCCUAAUAGAGACAGACUGCUCCCCUGCUAGAACCUCCAAACAAGCUCUCAAGACAGAAUCUUUUAGAUAAGAAGUGCCGUACCCUCAUAAGUGGACAUUUAGAAAU